rnacentral:rRNA from 1 species
UCGAGGGGUAACAGGGAGCUUGCUCCGCUGACGACCGGCGCACGGGUGCGCACCGCGUAUGGAACCUGCCUUUUACAGGGGAAUAGCCCAGGGAAACUUGGAUUAAUGCCCCGUGGCACCACGGCCCGGCAUCGGGAUGUGGUUAAAGCCUUCGGGCGGUAGAAGAUGGCCAUGCGUCCCAUUAGCUGGAUGGUAAGGUAACGGCUUACCAUGGCUACGAUGGGUAGGGGCCCUGAGAGGGGGAUCCCCCACACUGGUACUGAGACACGGACCAGACUCCUACGGGAGGCAGCAGUGAGGAAUAUUGGACAAUGGGCGAGGGCCUGAUCCAGCCAUGCCGCGUGCAGGAAGAAUGCCCUAUGGGUAGUAAACUGCUUUUAUACGGGAAGAAAAAGGGGCACGUGUGCCCCACUGACGGUACCGUAAGAAUAAGGACCGGCUAACUCCGUGCCAGCAGCCGCGGUAAUACGGAGGGUCCGAGCGUUAUCCGGAAUUAUUGGGUUUAAAGGGUCCGUAGGCGGGCCGGUAAGUCAGGGGUGAAAGUCUGUAGCUCAACUAUAGAAUUGCCUUUGAUACUGCCGGUCUUGAGUUAUGGUGAAGUUGCCGGAAUAUGUGGUGUAGCGGUGAAAUGCAUAGAUAUCACAUAGAACACCGAUUGCGAAGGCAGGUGACUAACCAUAUACUGACGCUGAUGGACGAAAGCGUGGGGAGCGAACAGGAUUAGAUACCCUGGUAGUCCACGCCGUAAACGAUGGAUACUAGCUGUCCGGGUCCUUGAGGCCUGGCGGCCAAGCGAAAGU